CUCAUGCUGGGGUUAUAGAAUGAGUCCCCCAGAGGGCUAACCUCCUGGCAGCGUGAGCACCAACAGACCUUGCCUUUGUGACACUUACUUCUAGGAAUCCUGGCUCGAUGGAUUACACUGGUGUAUCUGCCCAGACUAGCCCAGGAUCCUGGUUCCUGUCUUGGAAAGUGAAAGAUGCAAGGAGUCCCUGGGAAGAGGCAUUUCAUUAAGGAUGGACAUGGGGUCAUGAUGAAGAAGAGGGCCAGAAGAAGUCAUAGCAAGGGCAUCUCCCACCGAUGGAACAAGAACCAAGAGAUGAAGCACAUCAAAAACAAAGGCAGAAAUGGAGAAACAGAUUCCUGACAGAUCUUGUUACGUGUUUUGCUGCUUUUCUGUUUGAACAAAGUCGUGAUGAGCCUCUCGAGUCUGAGAGGAACCAGGAAAGGAAAAUGGGAGUGUGCAGCUGCCUCAAGGAGGAGGCCAGAUGAGGACGGGCAGGAGGUUCUCCAGGCUGAGAAAGAAGACAUGGAGACAACCUGGUAUUGCACUGGGAUCUGGAAGCUUCAUGCAUGUUUCAGAACACCUUUAAACAGAAGUAAAUUACGCCUUUGAUCUCUGCGAGAGGACAAAAGAAACUGUGGUCACACCAGAAGAAGUAGAGGCUUGCUGUCU
ensembl:lncRNA